rnacentral:misc_RNA from 1 species
GAAAUGCGAUAAGUAAUGUGAAUUGCAGAAUUCAGUGAAUCAUCGAAUCUUUGGACGCACAUUGCGCCCGCCAGUAUUCUGGCGGGCAUGCCUGUUCGAGCGUCAUUACAACCCUCAGGCCCCCGGGCCUGGCGUUGGGGAUCGGCGGAAGCCCCCUGCGGGCACAACGCCGUCCCCCAAAUACAGUGGCGGUCCCGCCGCAGCUUCCAUUGCGUAGUAGCUAACACCUCGCAACUGGAGAGCGGCGCGACCACGCCGUAAAACACCCAACUUCUGAAUGUUGACCUCGAAUCAGGUAGGAAUACCCGCUGAACUUAAGC